GGGGUCUUGUUAAAAUGCAGAAUCUGAUUAAGUAGAUCUGGGGUGAGCCCCAAGAUUCUGCAUUUCUAACAAGCUC
rnacentral:miRNA from 1 species